rnacentral:misc_RNA from 1 species
GCAAACUUGGUCAUUUAGAGGAAGUAAAAGUCGUAACAAGGUUUCCGUAGGUGAACCUGCGGAAGGAUCAUUAAAAAUGAGAUUCCAUCAUUCAUCCAUUGUGUGCAUCAUUGAAAAGUGCAAACUCUUGGGAGAAUUGAUUCUCCCAGAGUUUUUUUAUUUUCAAAAAUGAUUCUUCUCUUGUCUGAUGUUAAAAAAUUUUUUUUAUUUAAAAAUAAAAAACAACUUUCAACAACGGAUCUCUUGGCUCUCGCAUCGAUGAAGAACGCAGC